UUUCUGUAGGUGAACCUGCGGAAGGAUCAUUACUGAAGAAACAAGGGUUUUGAGACUGCGUCCUUCAAUUGGGCGUGUGCUCGACUCUUACUCUUUCAUAUCCCAUACACACCUUUGUGCACCAAGGGGACCCUUGUGUCCCCCUUUUUUUCAUAAAUACCGAGUUAUAUGCAUGUAUAGUUUGUAUACUCUACGGAGUUAUUAUAAAUACAACUUUCAACAACGGAUCUCUUGGCUUUCGCAUCGAUGAAGAACGCAGCGAACGUGCGAAACGUAAUGUGAAUUGCAGAAUUCAGUGAAUCAUCGAAUCUUUGAACGCAUCUUGCGCUCCUUGGUAUUCCGAGGAGCAUGCCUGUUUGAGUGUCGUGAAUAACUCUCAAUUUCAAAUAUUUUAGAAUAUCUGACAUUGGACUUGGGCGUUGUCGUGUUUCUACGACUCGUCCUAAAUGCAUUAGCGAUCUGCCCUGAUCACACACAAUGUGAUAAGUAAAAAAUAAAGCAUUGUUAUGGUUGGGUUUGAAAGAUGGCUUCUAAUCGUCGUAAUGACAAAUAAAAGACCAUGUCGUUUGACCUCAAAUCAGGCAGGACUACCCGCUGAACUUAAGCA
rnacentral:rRNA from 1 species